rnacentral:rRNA from 2 species
CUUGACGACCAUAGCGAGGUGGUCCCACCCCUUCCCAUCCCGAACAGGACCGUGAAACACCUCAGCGCCGAUGAUAGUGCGGAUUGCCCGUGUGAAAGUAGGACAUCGUCAAGC